UGAAGUUGCUUCCUGAGCAAGUUCUGCUAUCAUUUCUUCAUACGCCUCAUCUAUUUCUGGUUGUGAUUCUGCUAGGCCAAAAAUCCUUCUUUCUGCGCGGAUCCAAUCUCGAAAAAGCACUGAUUUUUCCAAGUUGUCCCGCAUCGACACUCUGUGAUCACCUAUUUGUAGUCUUGCUUGACUAAAAGCGCUCUUCGAUGCAAUGGUUGACGCUUGAAUCG
rnacentral:lncRNA from 1 species